UGUGAGUGAGGUGAUGUAGUGCGAGGUGGGAAAUAGGUAUAUGGCCGUUUACUGCCCGAGUGUGUAUCGACCUCUGUCCAUGGUGCUGGAUUUUAUAAUUCGUGUCCUCCCUACAAUGUAAUGCUUGCAGUUUAAUCCAAUCAGGUCUGAUUCGAGCAAAUUACACAAAACUGUGGUUUCGUACAUACAUUUUGUUCUGCGUUAGAGUACCAUGUAAUUAUAGGUGUGACAGUAAUGAGCAGAUAAGUGCGGCCAAGGUGUCGUCGGGACUCGGCACUGCAGCAUCCGCUCUGCGGCUGCUCGCUGCUGCUGCUCACAGUCCCGCGGACAAAGUCAUGGAGGGAGGGAAGUUGUGAGGCUAAGAAGUGGGUCUACAUCCCCACGAAAAGGGCAAAUUAGAAACGAUGGCGGAGGCUAAUCCACUCAGGGGACUGCCCCGGAUCCAGAGGGCUGCGAUGUCAUUCCCUGGACAUUUGCACUUAGUUCUAGUGCUGAGACCCAAAACCCACCUGCAGACCACUGGAACAGACCUCGGUUUCCGCUUCAGUCAGGACGACUUUGUGCUCAAGAUGCCGAUGGUAAUGCUGAGCUCCCUGACAGACC